UACAGAGGGUGCGAGCGUUAAUCGGAAUUACUGGGCGUAAAGCGCGCGUAGGCGGUUUGUUAAGUCGGAUGUGAAAUCCCCGGGCUCAACCUGGGAAUUGCAUUCGAUACUGGCAAGCUAGAGUAUGGUAGAGGGUGGUGGAAUUUCCUGUGUAGCGGUGAAAUGCGUAGAUAUAGGAAGGAACACCAGUGGCGAAGGCGACCACCUGGACUGAUACUGACACUGAGGUGCGAAAGCGUGGGGAGCAAACAGG
rnacentral:rRNA from 1 species